UACGAAGGUGGCUAGAGUCGUUCGGAAUCACUGGGCGUAAAGCGCACGUAGGCGGAUUUGUUAGUCAGGGGUGAAAUCCCGGGGCUCAACCUCGGAACUGCCUUUGAUACUGCAGAUCUCGAGGCCGGAAGAGGUGAGUGGAAUUCCUAGUGUAGAGGUGAAAUUCGUAGAUAUUAGGAAGAACACCAGUGGCGAAGGCGGCUCACUGGUCCGGUACUGACGCUGAGGUGCGAAAGCGUGGGGAGCAAACAGG
rnacentral:rRNA from 1 species